UGUGACACAGAAACUCAGAUGCCAUGGGAGAAACAGUCUCCUGACUUCAUGCGCUGACUUACCGUGCUCUCUGUGCUUUGGCUGCCAGUCUCACCUUCCUCAGCAGUGCCACUUUAAAUCUGACUGCUAGCUUCAGCCAGGGAGCUGUUAGUGCCUCUGCAUCCACACACAGAGAAAGGAGGCAAGAGGAGCAGGAGGAGCAAAUGCAGGAGGAGCUUCAGUCCAAGGGCUCUGCAGGCAUCUUUCCCUGGUGAGAAUGGUUGAUCCUCAUUUGACCUUUCCGAUACACAGAUAAAGAAUGUAAUACAGCAUGGACUCAAAAUAUAGUGGGUGAAUCCGUUCCAGAAAUGGCCUUGUGGGAUGGAGG